AACGCACCUUGCGCCCCUUGGUAUUCCGAGGGGCACACCCGUUUGAGUGUCGUGAAAAUCUCAACCUCCUCGGUUUCUUUUAGAUGCUGAAGGAGGCUUGGACUUUGGAGGGCUUUGCUGGACUUGAAAGGCCAGCUCCUCUCAAAUGAAUUAGCGAGGUUCCCUUUGCCGAUCCUCGACGUGUGAUAAGAUGCUUCCACGUCUUGGUCUUUGGCUCUGUCGCCUUUUGGGACCUGCUUCCAAUCGUCUCUUGACGAGACAACGUUCGAGCACGUCUCGACCACGUACCCUUGACCUCAAAUCGGGUGAGACUACCCGCUGAACUUAA
rnacentral:misc_RNA from 1 species